ensembl:misc_RNA Metazoa_SRP Metazoan signal recognition particle RNA
GCUGGACCCAGUGGCAUGUACCUGUAGUCCCAGCUACUUGGGAGGCUGAGUCAGGAGGAUUACUUGAGGCCAGGAGUUCAAGGCUGCAGUGUGCUAUGAUCAUACCCCUGAAUAGCCACUGUACUCUAGCCUGGGCAACAAAGCAAGACCCCUUCUCUU